rnacentral:siRNA from 1 species
AGGGAAGUCCAACUGUCAUGCCA